rnacentral:rRNA from 1 species
CAGCAGCCGCGGUAAUACGUAGGGUGCAAGCGUUGUCCGGAAUUACUGGGCGUAAAGAGUUCGUAGGCGGUUUGUCGCGUCGUUUGUGAAAACCAGCAGCUCAACUGCUGGCUUGCAGGCGAUACGGGCAGACUUGAGUACUGCAGGGGAGACUGGAAUUCCUGGUGUAGCGGUGAAAUGCGCAGAUAUCAGGAGGAACACCGGUGGCGAAGGCGGGUCUCUGGGCAGUGACUGACGCUGAGGAACGAAAGCGUGGGUAGCGAACAGGAUUAGAUACCCUGGUAGUCCACGCCGUAAACGGUGGGCGCUAGGUGUGGGUUCCUUCCACGGAAUCCGUGCCGUAGCUAACGCAUUAAGCGCCCCGCCUGGGGAGU